rnacentral:rRNA from 1 species
AUCAUUGAACGCUGGCGGCAUGCUUACACAUGCAAGUCGAACGGCAGCACGGGAGCAAUCUGGUGGCGAGUGGCGAACGGGUGAGUAAUGUAUCGGAGCGUACCUUUCAGUGGGGGAUAACGUAGCGAAAGUUACGCUAAUACCGCAUAUUCUGUGAGCAGGAAAGCAGGGGAUCGCAAGACCUUGCGCUGAUUGAGCGGCCGAUAUCAGAUUAGCUAGUUGGUGAGGUAAAGGCUCACCAAGGCGACGAUCUGUAGCGGGUCUGAGAGGAUGAUCCGCCACACUGGAACUGAGACACGGUCCAGACUCCUACGGGAGGCAGCAGUGGGGAAUUUUGGACAAUGGGGGCAACCCUGAUCCAGCCAUGCCGCGUGAGUGAAGAAGGCCUUCGGGUUGUAAAGCUCUUUCAGCCGGGAAGAAAUCACAUGGGUUAAUACCCUGUGUGGAUGACGGUACCGGAAUAAGAAGCACCGGCUAACUACGUGCCAGCAGCCGCGGUAAUACGUAGGGUGCGAGCGUUAAUCGGAAUUACUGGGCGUAAAGCGUGCGCAGGCGGUUUGUUAAGAUAGGCGUGAAAUCCCCGGGCUCAACCUGGGAACUGCGUUUAUGACUGGCAGGCUAGAGUAUGGCAGAGGGGGGUGGAAUUCCACGUGUAGCAGUGAAAUGUGUAGAGAUGUGGAGGAACACCGAUGGCGAAGGCAGCCCCCUGGGCCAAUACUGACGCUCAUGCACGAAAGCGUGGGUAGCAAACAGGAUUAGAUACCCUGGUAGUCCACGCCCUAAACGAUGUCAACUAGGUGUUGGGUGGGUAAAACCAUUUAGUACCGGAGCUAACGCGUGAAGUGACCGCCU